ensembl:lncRNA
GGCUUUCAUCUGCCCUUAACAGGGAAGGGUACAUCUUCUACCCUUCCCACUGCUGAGACAUGAUGAACAGUCAACUUCAGCUUCGAGAUGGAGGCUGGGCCUUGAGAACGAUAGAACCACAAACUAAAAGGAGCCUCAGGUGGCCUCUGCAAAGAGCCUGGCAGGGACACUGGAAACAGAAGCCCUAACAGCACUGCCUACCCUGCCCCAGCCAGCCAUAGUAACAUAUCGAUGUGAGAGUUGGACUAUUAAGAAAGCUGAGUGCUGAAGAAUUGAUGCUUUUGAACUGUGGUAUUGGAGAAGACUCUUGAGAGUCCCUUGGACUGCAAGGAGAUCAAACCAGUCAAUCCUAAAGGAAAUCAGUCCUGAAUAUUCAUUGGAAGGACUGAUGCUGACACUGAAACUCCAAUACUUUGGUCACCUGAUGUGAAGAACUGACUCAUUGGAAAAGACUCUGAUGCUGAAGAAAGACUGAAGGCAGGAGGAGAAGGGGACGACAGAGGAUGAGCUGGUUGGAUGGCAUCUCCGACACAAUGGAUGUGAGUUUGAGCAAGCUCUGGGAGUUGGUGAUGGACAGGGAAGCCUGGCAUGCUGCAGUCCAUGGGGUUGCAAAGAGUCAGACACAACUGAGUGACUGAACUGAACUGAAUACCUUCAUUUGGCCUUACAAGAACCUAGGCAGAGAACUCAACCAUCCCCACCUGGAUUCUUGACCUACAGAACUGUGAGCUAAUCCAUGUGGAUUCAGCUGCUAAAUCUGUGAUCAUUUACUACACAGCCACGGAAAACUGAUUCAGCCCUGGUCCACAACACACAGAGCCCACAAGGACCAGCCCCCAAGUGCCACACCAUCCAUGGAGCAUACGAGGUUUACACUCCAUGCAAGCCACAACCACCCAGUCCACUGUGGGUCCGUCCCAUCCACAGGCGCCUCAAAGUGCCCUCAACACUCACUGUGGAAAGUGUUCUGAGAAGCCUGUUGGAGACAGAGGGUAUUUCCUGCUGCCAGGCCCUCUCCCAGCUGGGUCAAAGGUGGCCACCUUCAGCCAAACACUCAAGCUCCCCCUCUUCAGGGCACCCCUGGGAAGUGGCUGCCUCACCCCAAACUGCAUUUCCCAGCUCUCCUUGCAUCUAGUAUGGCCCUAUGGUUGGUUCUUGCCCGUGGAAUGUGAACGGAAGUGGUGGGCCCCUUCCUGGCCACAGAUGUUAAGAAGGCCAACCACAGAGAGACACUGGGGGGACCUCAGGUCUGAUGAAUCCCCUGGAAAAGCUGGGACAUCCAUCUCCGCCUGCCCUUGGACACAGAUGCUCCUGGUUCUCAGGCUUCAGGGUUUGGACUGGAACGUCACUGCUGGAUUUCCUGGGCCUCUGACUUGCAGCUGGAGCCAUCCCAGAAGACCUGACAGAGUUCCCAACAGCUGGGGCAACGAGUCCUUCAGAAGGAGGAUCUGGUGCUGCAGUGCCCUGACCCCACGAUUUGACUCAUGGCUCUCACCUCCCCCACCUGCUCCAAGCACAGUCCCUGGAGAGAAGGAAACAUAGAGACUGAGCCAACCCUGUAUCCUUUGCUUCCCUUCUCCCACCCUCAACAACCUCCAAGUGCCGCCUACAGACCCCAGGGCUAGCUGAGUUCAGAGGCUGUCUAUAAACUGGGGAGGCUGGGGGUCAGGGU